rnacentral:lncRNA from 1 species
CACGUCCAUCCCGGAAGUGUCAAGCCUGACUCCCUUUAGCUCACCGUUCCCUGUCCCGCCUCUCAUCAGGGUAAAAUACCUCACCCCUGCAGACAGAGACAGAUGGGGGGAAGCAGGCGCAGCCCCCCCCCCCCCCCCCCCCCCCCCCCCGCUCAGCUCGGGUGAUUUAUGCCAUCCUGGCGCAGACCUGCGCACGUGCACACUUGCAUGUGAUCAUACAUCACCGGAUGGCAGCGCAUGCAUAAGUACGCGCGAACCGGCCGCCGCCUCUGAGCCGCAUGCGUGACGGCACCUGUCUGGUGUUUUUUUUUGCUAAAUGUCAGAGCUCCAGCUUCCUGGGAGGAAAUGUGCAGAUUUGAAAGAGAGGCAGCACACUGACAUAAUUUGUCCCUCCUCUGUGACAGCUAAAGAGGGCGAAUUCCUCCCGCUUAAUCCAUCUGCCUGAGGUGUCCCUUAAUCUGCCUGAGGUGUCGGCCCGAGCUGCAUUCGCCCGCCCCGCGGAUUGAUCAGCGGCUUGACUUUCUGCCGAAUGUCAACCAGGCAAACAGUGGGAAUUCCUGGGAACGCGGCAGAAGAAAGGCUGAAGGGUUUGCGUCUUUAGUCUGCGCUGGGGGGGGGGCGAGCGGGUGGGCGGGGGCUGCAACAAGGAUGCGCUCGCCGUGUGCAAGACAACAAUUUGUGAGUAAGGCACGGAACCGACGCCACAGUCAGCCAGUGGCAACUGCUGGAUCAGGUACAACUAGAGGAUUGUGGGACAUUUGGGGUUCAGGUACUUGGCUUUGCCUCCAAGACAACAGAAACCAUUUGUGAUGCAAUGGGAGCCUCCAUUACUCACCCACAGGUCCAGUGAGAGAGAUGUGUGCCUGCAGAGAUGAACGUUCGGAUGGAAGACAGCCAAGGACACGCAUAGAUUUUACAGCAGGGGAUGAAGUUCGGCCUCUCUGAGACGGUUGGUGCAAGCGUGGCUGUUCCAGCAGCUCCGGCUGUGAACUGCUGUCAGUCAACGGCGUCAUUCACAUCCUUUGUUCUACAGUAAUAAACGUACGUUGCCCUUGAAGAUGAGACGUCUGUGCCAAUGAAGCCACUUCAGACAAAUAGAUUCAAGUGGUUUAAGUCGUGUUUACUUCCAUUUUAUAUGGAGGCAUCAUUUGGAAUUUAAGAUGUAUGAUCAGAAGAGCCUUCACCACCUUCGUAGAUCAAUAG